UACGGAAGGGGGCUAGCGUUGUUCGGAAUUACUGGGCGUAAAGCGCACGUAGGCGGAUAUUUAAGUCAGGGGUGAAAUCCCAGAGCUCAACUCUGGAACUGCCUUUGAUACUGGGUAUCUUGAGUAUGGAAGAGGUAAGUGGAAUUCCGAGUGAUAGAGGUGAAAUUCGUAGAUAUUCGGAGGAACACCAGUGGCGAAGGCGGCUUACUGGUCCAUUACUGACGCUGAGGUGACGAAAGCGUGGGGAGCAAACAGG
rnacentral:rRNA from 1 species